UUUUACUAAGCAGAAAAAGGAACAAAAUGGUAAUGAGAGUGGUAACCAGGUGAAGUCGUGAUUUAACCAGUCAAGAAAUUAGAGUUCGAAGCCUAUAGGGUCGCAAAACAGCCAAGGAAACCUCCAUAAGUCUGCUAACUAGAAUAACAACCAUAACAAGGCCCCGGGUAAACUGUCUGUGAUAAGUCGAAAUGAAGCUGAACGACAUGUUGACUUAGUUUCUGUUACUUUUCUAUUAACUCCGUGCUAGUUAGAAAGUUAUUUGAUUCAGGGAAAGCUUAUUCUUUUGUUUCGUCAUCUCUUAUUAAGAGUCCGAAGUUAGUAGAUUUUGAGGUGAUUGAUUUACCCGUUAGCAUUCCUACUGUUGUAACCAUAAGGUGUACCAAAUUAUUUAAGAACUUGCCUUGUGAACUAUUUUUCGGUUGUGUGAGCUAGAUGUGAGUUAAGAAGUCGGAAUGAAGAUCGAGGAUGUUCCAAUGGUGAAUGAAUUCAUGGAUGUGUUUCCUAGUGAGAUUGCAGGUAUGCCACUUGCUAAGAGCCGUUGAGUCCUCUAUAGACUUAGUGCCUAGAAUGACGCAUAUAUCUAGAGCACCAUAUAGAAUGACACCUCCUGAAAUGAGCUAAUUAAGACAAAGUUGCAAGACUUGUUUGGUCAAGGAAUAUAUUAGGCCUAGUGCAUCACCGUGGGGAGCUCCUGUGUUGUUUGUUAAGGAGAAAGAUAAGAGUAUGGAAUUAUGCAUCGAUUUUAGGGAGCUAAACACCAUCAAGAACAAGUAUCCCUUGCCUAGGAUAGAUGACAUAUUAGACCAAUUGAAUUGGGUGAGUGUGUUCUCGAAGACUGAUUUGGGUUUAAAGUACCACCGAUUGAGAGUAGCUGAUAAGAAUAUACUUAAGAACUCAUUAGGAUUCGUUAUUGUCAUUAGGGUUUAGAGUAACGUCUUUUGGGUUAACCAAUGCACCUGCCAUAAUUAUGGAUUUGAUGAAUAAGAUUUUCCAUGAAUUCCGAAUUAAGUUCAUUAUUAUGUUAUUGAUGAUAUCCUGAUUUAUUCAAGGAAUGAGAAAGAGCAUGACAAACACUUGAGGAUCACUUGGAGACACUUAGAAAGAAUCUAGUUUUAUUAAAUGAAGUAUACAAAUCUUGAAGUCAUAUGUGUAUAAGUGACACCGACGGAAAAGUGAAGGACUAAAUUGAUUGAAAACUACGUUACGUAAGGGAAUAAAUUUAAGAGAAGAUUUGAGUGGUCUAGGAUCGUUUGAAAUCAUUUGUUGUCUUUAAAAGAUGGGAAUGUAUGAAUUGGUGAAAGUGCUAAGAGUUAAGCCCAAGAGUUAUACAUCCAUGAAAGGCGUAAUGAGGUUCACUAGAAAGGGAAAGCUGAAUUGAAGGAGUUUCUGUAGAUCCUACUAAGAAUCAAGAUGUGAGUGAGUGGCCUACUCCAAAGGAACGUGUCUGAUAUCUGAAGUUUCCUAGGCCUAGUUGUCUAUUAUAGGGGGUUUGUGAAAGAUUUUCCGAAGAGAGCAAAACCAAUGACCAACUUGAUGAAAAAGGAAUCGAAAUUCGAGUGGAGUAAGAAAUGUGAGGAAGCUUUCCAGAUUUUGAAAGAGCAUUUGACCUCCGCAACUGUUGUCGCGUCAAUUGAAACCUUAUGAGGAUAAUUACCCUACCCAUGACAUAGAGCUAGCUGGUAUUGUUUUCGCUUUGAAGAUUUGAAGACAUUACCUUUAUAUGAAAACAUGUUAGAUCCUUAUCGACCAUAAAAGUUUGAAAUUUUAUCAAAAAGGGUCCAGUGGAAUCUUGUGGACAAUAUUGAAAAUGAUACUGCUUUCCACUCUACAACUGAUGGUCAGCCUGAGAGCACUAACCAAACCAUGGGAGAUAUGUUGAGAGCAUGUGCUAUUGACCUUGAAGAGAAGUGGGAGAUCAUAUAGAUUUGAUUGAAUUUUCGUUCAUCAAUAGUUACCAUGCGAGCAUUACGAUGUCACAUUUUGAGGAAAUGCAUGGAAGGAAGGGUAGAAGUCCACUUGCUGGAAUGAUUUUCGUGAAAAUGUUGUAUUGGGAACAGAAUUAGUUGAAGGAAAACUAUCCAAAGUUAUUCCCUGAGAUGAGUUACGAGGGCGUAACUCGUUUUCUUUAAGAGGGGUAGAAUGCGAUAGAAAGUCGCGCUUUGUACCUGUUUUUAUGGUGAUUUUAUGCAUUUUAUGCCCAUUUUUAUAACUUAUACAUGUUGAUGUAAAGCAAAUAGAUUUUCCGCAUAAGAAAAGGGUGUUCAUGAGUAACACAAACAGCUUUGAGUUGGCAAAAGAGUGCACAUAGGUGGCACAAGUACUCCUCUAGUGAGAAUAAGUUAAAAUCUUUUGGGAAAAUGUGGGAAUUUUCGUGUCAAGUUUCGGGACGAAACUUCUUUUAAGAGGGGUAGAUUGUAAUCCCCCGUAAAUUUAUAGAUUUUAUUAAAUAUAUUUUAACGUAUAUUAUUUAUAUUUAAAUAGAAUUUAUGAAUUUUAGUAAUAAAUAUAUAAUUAACGUAUAUUCAUUUUAUUUACGUUUUAAAUAUUUUAACGAUUUAUGAAAUUAAAAGUAAUUUUAGAAUUUUACGUUGAAAAGAAUUUGAAUUACGAAAACGCGUUCGAUUCAAUUUGGAAAACAACCUUAACCGGUUUUGGAUUCAAACAAACUCAAUUCUAAUCCUAGCCCAAAUUGACAAAGCCCAAAACAAGAGAACCCAUAUCCUCAACCCAUAAUUUAAUUUCACGUGAAACAAAAGAAACAGCAAAACCCUCCCCUUUGAAACUUCACGUGAAAACCCAAAAAGAAAAACCUCUCCCUCUCCUCUGGCUGAACGCCGACCACCACCACCACCUGUCGUUCCUGCUUCCCCUGCUUGCAGCGCCGCCGCCGUCGACCAACUACACCGCCGGCAGUCUCCUUCCUUCUCCUCCCUUUUCGUUUUUCUUUUUCUUUUCUUUUUCGUUAUUCUUCAUCUCUCCUCACUCGAUGUUUUCUGAUUAUCCAGCCAGCACCACCGCACGGCCGCCUUCCGCCGCCAGCCGCGCCGCCUAGUCCAGCGACCACCUCAUCACUGCCGCGCCUCUGUCCGUUGGCCGGAUUCUCUCUCCCUUCUCCUCCAACGCACGCAAGAACCCACCUCCCUUUGUUGCUUCUUGCUUCAUGCUCCGCACACGCAGCCACCACCGGCGCCACCUGUGCCGAGCUGUUGAGUUCAGUGCCGGUGCCGCACCGCCUUGCCCGCCGCCCUGCACCUCCCCUCUCUUCUAGUUUUUGGUAGAGAAUUCUCUUUAGACGACUUUUGAAAGUGUUAAAGUGGCCUAUCAGUUUGUUUACACAAGUCUCUAAGGAUCAAUAAGCGUUGCCCAUCUACAGGUUUGAAGAUGAUGCAUCAUUGGGAUCGGGAUUAGAGAGCUUGUAUUUAGAUUUGUUUGGUUAAGAGAUUUGGUUUGUUAAUUUGGAUUUGAAAUUUGUCGUACUAUUCGUAUUUCCUUAUUUCCGUUAAUUGGUUUUUAGACUUAAUAUGUAAUCAAUUAUUUAUGAACCUAAAAGUUAGUUUUACGUUUUCCGCUGCAAAAUUCUGAAUAAGC